GACGAACGCUGGCGGCGCGCCUAACACAUGCAAGUCGAACGAGCGAGAGAGAGCUUGCUUUCUCGAGCGAGUGGCGAACGGGUGAGUAACGCGUGAGGAACCUGCCCCAAAGAGGGGGACAACAGUUGGAAACGACUGCUAAUACCGCAUAAGCCCACGGUGCCGCAUGGCACAGAGGGAAAAGGAGCAAUCCGCUUUGAGAUGGCCUCGCGUCCGAUUAGCUAGUUGGUGAGGUAAUGGCCCACCAAGGCGACGAUCGGUAGCCGGACUGAGAGGUUGAACGGCCACAUUGGGACUGAGACACGGCCCAGACUCCUACGGGAGGCAGCAGUGGGGAAUAUUGCACAAUGGGGGAAACCCUGAUGCAGCGACGCCGCGUGGAGGAAGAAGGUCUUCGGAUUGUAAACUCCUGUUGUUGGGGAAGAUAAUGACGGUACCCAACAAGGAAGUGACGGCUAACUACGUA
rnacentral:rRNA from 1 species